ensembl:rRNA 5S_rRNA 5S ribosomal RNA
AGUUACAGCCAUGCCACCCUGAACAAGCCUGAUCCCGGCUGAUCUUGGAAGCUAAGCAGGGUCGGGCCUGGUUAGUGUUUGGAUGGGAGACCACCUAGGAAGACCAGGUGCUGUAGGCG